GACGAACGCUGGCGGCGUGCUUAACACAUGUAAGUCGAACGGACAGGCUCCAGCUUUCUGGAGUACUCGUAAGCCGCACGGGUGUGAAUCACGCGGGUAAUCUGCCCUUCACCCUGGGAUAAGCCUGGGAAAAUCGGUCUAAUAUAGCACAUAAACUUUCUCCCCACGGGGUUUGGGGUAAAGUGUUUCUGUUUAUGAUGCGCCCGCGGCCAAUCAGCUUGGUGGUUGUGUUCUGGCCUACCAAGGCGACGACGGGUAGCCGGCCUGAGAGGGGGAUCGGCCACAUGGGGACUGGGGUACGGGCCAGACUGCUACGGGAGGCAGCAGUGGGGAAUAUGGCACAAUGGGCGGAAGCCUGAUGCAGCGACGCCGCGUGAGGGAAGACGGCCUUCGGGUUGUAAACCUCGUGCAGCAGGGACGAAGCGUAAGUGACGGUACCUGCACAAGAAGCACCGGCUAACUAUGUG
rnacentral:rRNA from 1 species